GAUGAACGCUGACAGCAUGCUUAACACAUGCAAGUCUACUUGAACUUCGGUUUGGGUGGCGGACGGGUGAGUAACGCGUAAAGAACUUGCCUCACAGUUAGGGACAACAUUUGGAAACGAAUGCUAAUACCUGAUAUUAUGAUUUUAGGGCAUCCUAGGAUUAUGAAAGCUAUAUGUGCUGUGAGAGAGCUUUGCGUCCCAUUAGCUAGUUGGAGAGGUAACGGCUCACCAAGGCGAUGAUGGGUAGCCGGCCUGAGAGGGUGAACGGCCACAAGGGGACUGAGACACGGCCCUUACUCCUACGGGAGGCAGCAGUGGGGAAUAUUGGACAAUGGACCAAAAGUCUGAUCCAGCAAUUCUGUGUGCACGAUGACGUUUUUCGGAAUGUAAAGUGCUUUCAGUUGGGAAGAAAAAAAUGACGGUACCAACAGAAGAAGUGACGGCUAAAUACGUG
rnacentral:rRNA from 1 species